GCCGGGGUGACAGAGCGGUAAUGUGCCGGCCUCGAGAGCCGGUGGUGCUUUGCGCCACAAGGGUUCAAAUCCCUUCCCCGGCGCCA
rnacentral:tRNA from 1 species